rnacentral:lncRNA from 1 species
AGAGAAUACUCCCUACGGUAUUUCAUGUGGAACAAGAAGACCUGGGAUCACCAGAGAUUGACGUGGAAAUUGCAGGGUGCAUUUUGAAGGAAGUGCCAGUAGAUUCAGGAUCUAGAGUCAAUAUCAUGACAGAGGAGACAGCUCAUGAUCUGGGCUACCAUGAUUUCGAAACCACUCCUAGAAUGCUGAGACUAGCAGAUCAAACAAGGAGAAAGCCAGCAGGUAUUCUUCGAAAUGUAGAAACUCUAAUAGGAGGAGUGCCCUUCAAACUAACUUAUAUUAUCAUUCGCCCAAUAGUG